UACGUAGGGAGCGAGCGUUGUCCGAAGUUACUGGGCGUAAAGCGCGCGUAGGCGGGCUGUUAAGUGAGAGGUGAAAGGCUGGGGCUUAACCCCAUGCAGUGCCUCUCAUACUGGCGGUCUUGAGUGCGGCAGGGAGAAGUGGAAUGGCUGGUGUAGCGGUGAAAUGCGUAGAUAUCAGGAGGAACACCUGUGGUGUAGACGGCUUUCUGGACCAUAACUGACGCUGAGACACGAAAGCGUGGGUAGCAAACAGG
rnacentral:rRNA from 1 species